rnacentral:rRNA from 1 species
UACUAUGCCUAGCCGUAACAUACAAUUAAACUACCAAUUGUCCGCCAAACAACUACGAGUUGCACUUAAAACUUAAAAGACUUGACGGUGCUUCACCACACCCUAGAGGAGCCUGUCUAGUAACCGAUAACCCACGAUUAACCCAACCCCCCCUAGCCUGACAGUCUAUAUACCGCCGUCGCCAGCUUACCUUGUAAAAGAAAUAAAGUGAGCUAAAUAGUAUACCACUAAAACGACAGGUCGAGGUGUAACUAAUGGGAGGGAUUAAGAUGGGCUACAUUCUCCUUUCUGAGAAACGAACAAUACUAUGAAACUAGUAUUUAAAGACGGAUUUAGCAGUAAGAUAAGAAUAAAAUACUUAACUGAACAUAACGCAAUGAAGUGCGUACACACCGCCCGUCACCCCUGCUACCACAACACACAACUUUAUAAACCACCAUAAAACAUAAACCA